UCAAAGGCUCUUUUAAGAGCCAACAAAGAGAGGGAGAGUUUUUUCGU
rfam:Oryzias latipes DNA, chromosome1, strain: Hd-rR.